CGUGAGGUCAGCGCGCCCGGGAGCGCGCCUGUGAUUCUAAUUUUAGCCGCAGCUGGGGCUGCAGAACUUAGGUCGGCUGAGGAAUGAGGUAAAAACAUAAUUAUUUGAAGAAUGCUGGGCUGCGACACCUUGGAAAACUGAUACUUCCACUUAAAAAUUUUUUUCUAUCAAGAUGCUCAGUCAGCAUAUGAUGAAUUUCAAUUUUGACUUUGCUCUGUUGUCUGCCAUGUCACAGUGACCUGCAUUCUGUCGUUGAUAUGGUCUCCUCAAAUUUCAUAGUGACUGCCUUCUGGAGUGGCUUAUAACAAAGUAUAUACUUAAACGCCUUUUACAAAUGAUAAACAAUAAAAAUUAUUGAUGAUGAAAUUAAAAUGACAGGAAAUACCAAGAAAUAUAAUGAAAUAUUUUGUUCAUUCUAGUGUUCUUUUUUCUUAUGUUCUGGGAACAAUCCAUAUUUCUAGUUUUUGAAAUCUGACUUUGUCAUUUUUCCUCAAAAGUUCCAAAAAAAAUCAAUGAGGGAAAAAUAUUUGCUGUGGAAUGGAGGGUCCUUCUGUGGUUAAUAUUGAUGACUAAUGAAGGUCUGUAAAUCUAUAUUGAAAACUUUUUUUCAAAAUAUAAUGGUUAUUAUAAAUGAGAGCUUUUUGUAUUGGUUUCUUUACAUAUAGUACAAUGCCUUGAACAGAGUCUAGACAUAAAUAUUAGUUAAAUUGAAGUAAGAUAACUAGUUCUUAAUUCACUGACUGUACAAAAAAGGUUAGAAAUGAAAGUUUUAAAUUGUUGAAAGCUUAAUUUGUCCAGCAUAGAUGCUAACAGGAUGAUUCAAGUUUUUAAAAAAUAUUUUUUAUUUUUCAUUUUCAAAUAUUAAUAGCUUAAUGAUGCUUGUAAGAAUUAGAAAUCUUAAUAUUUUAAAAACAUAAUCAGGAUUCUCUUUGCUGUUAAAAAAAAGAAAAGAAAAGUUGUCUUUUUGUCUCAUAUUAGACAAAUCCAACCAUUAUUUCUGGUCUAAUGUUUACUUGGUGAGGACCCUAUAUUGAUCAGAUGUGAAUGGUAAAUCAUGUUCUUAAAGUGAGCUAGUUUUAUGUGGUUGUCUUUUUUAUUGUAUGUUGCACUUAGUAAUCUUGAAUUGAUGAUUUAAGUUUGUUAUCCUUAAGAAUUAAUUUGUUUUGAAAAACAUUUUUAAAUUAACCUGUUUUAAUAAAAUUUAAAUUUUAGUUUGCA